rnacentral:tRNA from 1 species
GCGGGGGUCGCCAAGUUUGGUCAAAGACGAUUCGAAAAGAACCGUUGAACGCGCAGGGCUUAGGACCCUGUCCUGUAGGGCUUCGUGGGUUCAAAUCCCACCCCCCGCACCA